GAGCCGCUAGCUCAACCGGUAGAGCAGUAGACUCUUAAUUUAUUGGCUCGGGGUUCAAGUCCCCGGCGGCUCACCA
rnacentral:tRNA from 1 species